rnacentral:rRNA from 1 species
CUUGGUCAUUUAGAGGAAGUAAAAGUCGUAACAAGGUCUCCGUAGGUGAACCUGCGGAGGGAUCAUUACAAGUGACCCCGGUCUAACCACCGGGAUGUUCAUAACCCUUUGUUGUCCGACUCUGUUGCCUCCGGGGCGACCCUGCCUUCGGGCGGGGGCUCCGGGUGGACACUUCAAACUCUUGCGUAACUUUGCAGUCUGAGUAAACUUAAUUAAUAAAUUAAAACUUUUAACAACGGAUCUCUUGGUUCUGGCAUCGAUGAAGAACGCAGCGAAAUGCGAUAAGUAAUGUGAAUUGCAGAAUUCAGUGAAUCAUCGAAUCUUUGAACGCACAUUGCGCCCCCUGGUAUUCCGGGGGGCAUGCCUGUUUGAGUGUCAUGAAUAUCUCAACUCACCCGGUUUUUGUGACUUGUGGUGGGCUUGGACUUGGAGGCAUGCUGGCUUUGCUAGUCGGCUCCUCUCUAAAUGUAUUAGCUGGACCCCGUUACGGAUCAGUACUCGGUGUGAUAAUUGUCUACGCCGUGUCUGUGAAGUGCCUCAGUGGACCAGCUUCUAAUCGUCUUCGGACAAUUUUGACAUUUUGACCUCAAAUCAGGUAGGAUU